rnacentral:lncRNA from 1 species
AUGUGGAAGGAGAGGAAAAGAACAGAAACAACACUGUGUGGACAUCCACGAAUGCCCAAAUGUUGCUGGAUGGGGCCACGCCUACACUCCUACUUGAGCGUUCCCAUGGCCGGGAAGAACAGCACUGGCCCAAGAGGAGGAGGAGGGCUUGAGGUCUUUUCACACAUUCAGUUUCAUCCCUCAAAUCACAAAGGCUCUUUCAGUUCUGCUGAUGUGAGUUGGGGAGGAAUUGGCGAUGGGAAAACUCUUCAUCUCUUCAUAAGCUUGCUUUGCUUCUUCUUUUUUUUUUUUUUUUUUAACUGAGCUGCUCUAAUUCUUUUAUUAUUUGCAGGAAUCCUUUCAGAUAGAAACCUGUGAUAUAUUUAUUUUUGUAUAGGGCCUGGUAGGCAGAAUAAUUCCCCGCCCCCACCACUGCUCAGCCAAAGAUGUCCUGCCCUAAUACACACAAACUGAGAGCCUGCAAAUGCCUUCUAUGGCAAAAGAGACUUCGCUGAUGUGGUUGGGGAUAGAGAUCUGGACAUGGGAGAGGAUCCUAGAUUAUCCAGGUAGGCCUACUCUAAUCCCGUGAGUCUCAGGAGUGGAGAGACUGUCUCGUGGGGCUCGGGGGUAGAGGUGACAAAGCACAAAGGGUCAGAGACAUGUGGUGCCGCUGGCUUUGGGGUUGGGGGAAGGAGUCCCAGCCAAUGAAUGCCAGUGACCCCUGGGGCUGGAAAAGGCAAGGAAGCAGGUUGUCCCCUAGAACCCUGGAAGGACCUGCCACUGCUGAGUCUUUCUUGCUGGCCUAGUAAGGCCCUGGGACUCCAGACCUACUGAGCCAGGAGGUGACGAGUUCCUGUUGUUUCAAGCCACUCCAUUUGUGGUGACUGGUUGUGGCAGUAGUGGAAAACUAAAGAUGUGUGUGCCACUCAGCGAUUCUGCCCCUCUGGCCUUCCUUUGGUUCUCUUAGUGUCCUUUGGUAAGUGGGAGCUCUUGAUUGGAAUGGGGUCACACUUGCCACUUUCCCUUUGAUGCCUCUUAAGUCAUGGCUGAGAAAUCUCCCGGGCCUGGGAGCUGGAGAAGCCCCUUCUCCAUCAUCUCCUAGCAGCCUUGUGCAGUAUUUCCCUCUGAGGUCCGCGGUCCCCCCUAGCUGAGGUCUGUGUGUGGGAGGAAGGCCUCUUCGGAAUCUUCUCUGUGCAGGUGGCUGACCAGGCGCUGUCUUCCUGGGGGUGAGUGCUAAGUGUUUAUCUCUUCUCAGCAGCCAGCCGGUCCAAAGCAUGAACUCUGCCGUGGUGGGAAGCAGAAAAGUUCCUACUAAACUUCCCCC